GGGAUUGUGGUCUAGCUUGGUAUGAUUCUAGCCUUGGGCGCUAGAGGUCGUAGGUUCAAAUCCUGCCAAUCCCACCA
rnacentral:tRNA from 2 species